AAUGUGCACAGCAGAAGGAUCAUCAAUUGAUCCUCCGCUAGCACUCUGGCCAGGACUGCGCCCUCUGUUAGGAAUCUUUACUACGAUUUUUUGAUUGUUGGCUUCGACUGUUGGAACAUCAACUGCCUUAUCACAUGUCAAACUAAUUUGUGAUACCUUUUCUGAACUGGAAUUUCUUCGCAAUGGAGAACUUCUACCCGAGCCAGUUUCCCGUUGAACUAUGGUUCCACCUUGGCCCA
rnacentral:lncRNA from 1 species